rnacentral:rRNA from 1 species
AUGGAAGUCCUUGACGAGACCGGCGAGAACACCGUCUUCCACCGGGAGAGCAGCGGGAUGCUGGAAUCCUGGAGGUUCUUGAAUCUCUUCCUGUCCAGGAGGGAGCUGGAGGCAUCGUCGUGCGUCCACGACGACAGCUUCACCGUCAGGUGCACUCUGGCGAAGCAGCGGUCUACAAAGUGGUGGCGCCUCAUAUCCAAACCUGACGAGCUCGCGGUCUUGGAGCCGCAGGUCACCAUGGCUGGAUCCAACAUGAUCACCAUCGGCGGCUUCUCCAAGCUCAAGGCCGCGCUCUGGGGCGGGGAGUGCACCUACUCCACCCACUUCGCUUUGGGAGGGUGCAGAUGGUACUUCCAAUUCUGCCCCAAUGGCAAUGGGAUAAUUGGCCUUGUACGCGUGACGGCGUGA